AGCAUACAGUAAUGUUCUAGGCCUUCGCAUUCACUCACCACUCACUGAUUCACCCAGAGCAACUUCCAGUCCUGCAAGCUCCAUUCGUUAGUGGUACUCAGCAGAACAACAAUUAUAUCAUAUAAGCUGCAUCAGAGACAAAUGAAGAUGAAAAAACUAUCCUCCUAUAUAACUAAUCUGUGCUGUGCCCCAACAAGAACCUGCUUUAAAUUUCCAUGCCAAUUACAACCCCAUUCUGUACCAGGCAAGGAAGACUCCUCUACCCUUGAUUCUGGAUUGGAAAGGUCACAAGGCUUAGAUUCCACAGGAGGAGGUGAAGACAUCUGCAGAGUCUGUACUGCAAGCUGAAGCUUUAUUUGCUUGUCGGAUCCCCAAAAGGUCCAAAUCCAGUCUGCACCAAACAGGAAGGCUUGGUGCUUGGUCAUCUUGGUGGUGGUCAGCCACUCAUCAACUCCCUUUUCUUGGCAGAAAGUGAUGAAAUGGAUUAAGAAUAUCUCAUUCAGAGUAUUUGCAGCUGGGCAGAGUUUACUUGGAGGAUAUUCAAAUCCAAGGUACUCCGUCAGUUUCUGAGCUGCAUGGACUAUAGCUUCACUGACCACCUCACAGAUGACAGGCACCUCUUUGCUGUCCUUCACAGCCAACUGUUGCGACGCUUUCUGCCCCAUUUCUCU
rnacentral:antisense_RNA from 1 species